rnacentral:RNase_P_RNA from 1 species
GUCGGUCGGUCUGUCGCUCGCAUUUCGAUGCGUGAGGAAAGUCCGGGCAACACAGAGCAUCCUACUUUCUAACGGAAAGCUAUUCGUAAGAAUAGAGUAAUGUAGAAGAAAACAACCGCUUCUGCGGAAGCAAGGGUGAGAAGGCAGGGUAAGAGCCUACCAGUCGGGUGGUGACACUUCGAGCUGUGCAUCUUAGGAGUUGUAAGGUCAUGUAAACCGGCGUUAUGAGGGUUGCUCGCCCCAUGGCGGAGGGUAGACCGCUAGAGUUUAAUGGUGACAUUAAUCCCAGAUAAAUGACAGACGCCUCUUUCGGGAGGAACAGAACUCGGCUUACAGACCGGCUGCU